rnacentral:rRNA from 1 species
GUCGAGUGGCGGACGGGUGAGUAACGCGUGGGAAUCUACCCAGUAGUGGGGGAUAGCCAGGAGAAAUCCUGAUUAAUACCGCAUACAUUCUACGGAAAAAAGGUGGCCUCUACUUGUAAGCUAUCGCUAUUGGAUGAGCCCGCGUUAGAUUAGCUAGUUGGUGGGGUAAGAGCCUACCAAGGCAACGAUCUAUAGCUGGUCUGAGAGGACGACCAGCCACAUCGGGACUGAGACACGGCCCGGACUCCUACGGGAGGCAGCAGUGGGGAAUAUUGGACAAUGGGCGCAAGCCUGAUCCAGCAAUGCCGUGUGUGUGAAGAAGGCCUGAGGGUUGUAAAGCACUUUCAAUUGUGAAGAAGUUGAUAAAAUUAAUACUUUUGUCAAUUGACGUUAACUUUAGAAGAAGCACCGGCUAACUCUGUGCCAGCAGCCGCGGUAAUACAGAGGGUGCAAGCGUUAAUCGGAAUUACUGGGCGUAAAGCGCGCGUAGGCGGUUAUUUAAGUCAGAUGUGAAAUCCCCGGGGCUCAACCUGGGGAACUGCAUCUGAUACUGGAUAACUAGAAUUUUGGGAGAGGGAAGUAGAAUUUCAGGUGUAGCGGUGAAAUGCAUAGAGAUCUGAAGGAAUACCAGUGGCGAAGGCGACUUCCUGGCCUAAAACUGACGCUGAGGUGCGAAAGCGUGGGUAGCAAACGGGAUUAGAUACCCUGGUAGUCCACGCCCUAAACGAUGAAUGUUAG